rnacentral:rRNA from 1 species
AGGUCGCCUGCCAGUGAAUAUUUCAACGGCCGCGGUAUUCUAACCGUGCAAAGGUAGCGUAAUCACUUGUCUUCUAAAUAAAGACCAGUAUGAAUGGCUAAAUGAGGACAAACCUGUCUCCUGCGCCCAAUCAGUGAAAUUGAUCUUCUGGUACAAAAGCCAGAAUAACAACAUAAGACGAGAAGACCCUGUGGAGCUUAAAAUUAUUGUCUACUUAAAACCUAACAUUAAUUUUAAGUUGGGGCGACUUCGGAACAAAACAAAAAUUCCCAGCACGGAGCCACCCCCUCCUAAUAAGGCCCACAAUCCAAUAUAACCGACCCAGUCUCACUGAUCGACGAACCAAGUUACCCCCGGGAUAACAGCGCGAUCCCCCCCGAGAGU